GAAACUAAAGUGAAAAGGCAGCUCAGACAACAAGACAAAUGGAGUUUCUCAUCAUCAUCUUCUUCCUCGUCUCUCUCCCUAUCUUCAUCUUCUUCAUCUUCCCAAGGAAACCUUCCUCACAUAUCGGUUUCAAAUCCUACCCCAUUGUCGGAAGCUUACCUGGGUUGGUCAAAAACCGUCACCGUUUCCUCGAUUGGACGGUAGAGAUUCUGUCCGGAUGUCCGACACAGACAGCUGUUUUCCGGCGACCAGGGAACAGACAGUUCGUCAUGACAGCGAAUCCAGCAAACGUCGAGUUCAUGCUCAAGACGAAGUUCGAUAGCUUCCCUAAAGGCGAGCGGUUCAUCUCGCUUCUUGAGGAUUUACUUGGCCGCUGGAUUUUCAACUCCGACGGCGAGAUGUGGUGGAAACAGAGGAAGACGGCAAGCUACGAAUUCAGUACUAGGUCUCUCCGUGACUUCGUUAUGACCAACGCCACCGUCGAAAUCAACACCAGGUUAUAUUUUGAUGUAAAUAUGAACAUGUUGAAAUCAGUGGACCAACCAAUGGAGAAAAAAACUAUUGUUGGUAAAGCUAACUACUUAAGACAUUUGAGGAUCGUGAGGUAUAUACACUUAAACCUUUACACAAUAACUUUUAACUUUUCUUGUUCUUAAUUUGACAUUUCUUUUCAGCAAUUAGUUUUUUUUUAUGUUCUCUAUGCAGGAACACAAAAAAAAGAAAAAAAAAAUUAUCUUUGACCAAUGAUAUCAAACUACCCAGAUCACAUCCUCCCAUCCAAACCCUCUACUAUAAACCUAAACCCUAUAUACCAAUCCCAAAAUCUAAAACAUCAAACCUCAUCUCAUUUUAAAUCUAUACUACAUAAAUCAUACCUUAAUCUAAUAUUCUAAACCCCAAACUCAAACCCUAGAUAUAAAACCAUGAAUCCAAUAUUUUUAAACUUCAAAUAUAUUAUUUAAACAAACUCAAAUUUUUUUCAUGUAAACAAAUAUAUAAUUAAUAUAUAUUCCAAUCUUUCUAAAUUCCGUAGCGAUAAAUAUACUUUAAGCAAAGCCAAUUAUGGUAAAGUCAUAUAUAAUUUAAUUGAAUGUUUUACAUAAAAUUUAUUAAAGCCGGUCAUGAAUCUAAUUCAUUAUAUAUGCAAAAAAAAAAAAAAAACUUUGGCCAAAAUUAUAUCCUUCCGCCAAAUUUUUCUUCCUUCCCCGCGCACAUCUUGACCAAAAUUAAAACGAUAAAUAAAAAAAGAAAAAAGAAACUCUUCUAAUUUUUCAUUGGUUGACAAAGUAGCUAAAGGAUUGCUAUCUAGAAUUUUGGACCAUUGAUUAAAUUUGUUCCAAUGGUCAAGAUCACUUUGGGUUUCUUCCUCGUGUCUCUCACUCUCUCUUUUCUUCACAAAGAUCUCAUCUCUCUUUCAUUCCUGAAUCUCAAAUUCUCAAUCACGUUGCUCCAGAUCUUCUUUCUCUCAUAACUCUCUCUUUAACCAUACUACUUGCUCGAGCUUAUCCACCAAAGCUUGUUCGUCACCAAAGCUCAUCACCGUAGCUAGUUUGUCAUCGCCACCACCAAAGGCUCGUCGCUGUCACCACCGAAGCUCUUCGUCCACCACACAUACAAAGAAGAGAAGAGAGGAUGAAGAAGAUCCAGCAAGUUAGAGAGGACGAAGACGAAUACGAUGCUGGAGAGAGACGAAGAAGAUGAAGAAGUUAGCGAUGGGGGAGAGAGCGUGACGAAAGUGGGAGGACGGAAUAUGGUGGCGAGGGUGGAGAUGGACAGCAGAUGGUGGCACCGUCAACUCGAAGCAACGAAGCGGCGGAGAAGACGAUGACCAAUUCUUUUUUUUUUUAGGUUUAGUUCUUUUUGGCUUAAAUUCUUUAAAAAAAGUAAAUUUGGUUUAGUUUUUUUGUUGUAAUUAAUUUGACUUAGUUUAGUUUGUAAAUGAGUUUCAAUUUGUAAAGUGGGUUUAUUUAUAAAUAAAAAUUU